rnacentral:rRNA from 1 species
UGCAAGUCGAACGCGAACGUCACCUUCGGGUGGCUAGUAGAGUGGCGCACGGGUGAGUAACACGUAGACAACCUGCCUUCCAGUCUGGAAUAACCCCACGAAAGCGGGGCUAAUACCGGAUAAUACCAAGGGUCUGAUGGUCUUUGGUUGAAAGGCUUGCUGCUGGAAGAGGGGUCUGCGGGACAUUAGCUAGUUGGUGGGGUAGAGGCCUACCAAGGCGACGAUGUCUAGCGGGUCUGAGAGGAUGAUCCGCCACACUGGAACUGAGACACGGUCCAGACUCCUACGGGAGGCAGCAGUGGGGAAUUUUGCGCAAUGGGCGAAAGCCUGACGCAGCAACGCCGCGUGAGUGAAGAAGGCUUUUGGGUCGUAAAGCUCUUUUCUGAGGGAAGAGACCAGACGGUACCUCAGGAAUAAGCACCGGCUAACUCCGUGCCAGCAGCCGCGGUAAUACGGAGGGUGCAAGCGUUGUUCGGAUUUACUGGGCGUAAAGGGCGUGUAGGCGGAUGUGUCAGCUGGGGGUGAAAGCCCCGGGCUCAACUCGGGAAUGUCUCCCAGAACUGCACAUCUAGAGAGAGUCAGAGGCAGGUGGAAUUCCAGGUGUAGAGGUGAAAUUCGUAGAUAUCUGGAGGAACACCGGCGGCGAAGGCGGCCUGCUGGGGCUUCUCUGACGCUGAGGCGCG